UGGGCUUGAGUGAUCCUUCCACCUUAGCCUCCCAAGUAGCUGGGACUACAGGUGCACACCACCAUGCCCUCCCUAAUUUUUUUAUUUUUGUAGAGACGGGGUCUCACCAUGUUGCCCAGGCUGGUCUCAAACUCCUGGGCUUAAGUGAUCCUCCCAUCUCACCCUCCCAAACUGCUGGGAUUACAGGUGUGAGCCACCGCACUCGGCUUAUCUGCCAUUUUGAUCAUGUGACAUGUAUGUUACCAUGAUUCCUUACUGCAUCUGCCCACUCUGCAUUCCAUCCUGCACAUGUAGUGAUGCUCACCUACCUCAUGAAUUAUGCAUGUCAUCCUCGUUAAGACACCGUGAUGCAGUCUCCUCAGGGACUCAGCCAGAGAACCCUUUUUCCUGUGCUGUUUCCCUUAUGCCCAACAUUUCUGGGCAUAAAUCUUAAUAAAACUUAAUCUCAGAAAA
rnacentral:lncRNA from 10 species